rnacentral:rRNA from 1 species
CCCUUAGAUGCUCUGGGCCGCACGCGCGCUACACUGGUCGAUGCAACGAGUUUCUUUCCUCGGCCGACAGGCCUGGGCAAUCUUUGAACAUCGAUCGUGAUCGGGAUAGAUUCUUGUAAUUUUUGAUCUUAAACGAGGAAUUCCUAGUAAACGCAAGUCAUCAGCUUGCAUUGAUUACGUCCCUGCCCUUUGUACACACCGCCCGUCGCACCUACCGAUUGGGUGUUCCGGUGAGGAUUCAGGACUCGGAGUGUUUCCUGGCGAGAGGUUCUGCUUCUCGACAGAGCUCUGGGAAAUUUAUUCAAAUCUUAACACUUAGAGGAAGGAGAAGUCGUAACA